rnacentral:lncRNA from 1 species
GCGCUCUUUUCUCGGGACGGUGGAGGCCGUGCAGCGUCGCCCAUACUCCGAGCAAAGAACUGUGGCCAGAGGGUGAGUUUGGGGAUGGCUCUUUGGUUGCUUAGGGAUGCGGUGGGGCUUCCUGCGACACUCUGGAAAGGGAGGGGUUGGGGCGAGGCCGAGUUUGCACACGGGCUAUGGGUUCCGAAGGCCCGGGAGGCCUUUCCCCCUCCGCACAAGGCCUUCGCAGCCCACCCAUGGGGGCCAGAGCGCUCCCUGCUCCCCGCCGCGGGCAUUAGCCAAUGCUUUUCUUGCUUCCUUGCCCAGACUCUUUGUGCUGCUCACCCCCAAUUUUAGUGGCCCUAAGUUGUUGGCUUCUUGAACGCCCUGGGCCACAGGGUGUGGGGUCUAUUAUACUAAGGCCCUGAAGUCGAGGUUAGAGGAGGAGGCGCUUUGCUUUGUCGGAUGCUCCUCCCUAGCCUUUCAAGGCCAUUAAUUCCUAGAGGGCCUGUGGGGCCCCUGGAGCUAUGGAUUUUUUGUUGUUGUUGUUUUGUUAUUUGAAACGAAAGUGGGAAGUUUGCUAGUUCAGACCCCUUGGCUUUUGGUGCUAAGUUCAUGAAACACCCUCCACCCCACCCUUGCACGCGCGCGCGCGCGCGCCUUUUUUCCGAACCCCUUGCUCCUUAAGCUUUUCCUAGGCAUUUGUAGGCAUCGCUUUUCU